AAAACCUUUAAAGCAGUCCAGAGAGGCUCCUAAGGUCUAGACGUUGAAUCAUGGUAGUUGUUCCUACCUAAUUUUCGUGUAACCUUGCCUCGGGCAAGGUUUUUUGU
rfam:Streptococcus sp. HSISM1 chromosome, whole genome shotgun sequence.